GUUUCCUUCUAGCCACCUGCAUUCAAGAAGAGCGCGCACACGCAACCGCAGGCUGACGAUCAAGCCCUCUAGAAAAGGCCUGCAGGAAAUCCGAAGACCCGGACGCAUUUCCCCUUCGCGCAAAGCGUCACUCCUUCCCUUGAACUGGCCCAAGCGCCGCGCCCCCUUUACUUACUUAUGAAGACAACGCGGCGGGCUCACGUUCCUCCUAAGUCCCCGCGAACGGCAAGGUCUCCUCGGCAGCCCCCGCUCCUCAUCUUCCUCCCUACCCGCAGCAGCGCUCGCCGUUUCCCACCAAGCCUUACCUCUUCCUAGCCGAGCGAUCGAGGCGGGGACUACCCAGCAGGCCAACCAAUGAGCCGGGGUGUUCCCGCAGCCGCUCAAACCACGUCUGCUCAGUAGGCAGACGGAGAAGGUGGAGCUUGGGACGAAGAUCGCCGAAAAACAGACGCUGCGCUCGGUAGUGCUGGUGAUGGAAGACGAGAGAGAUAAGAAGAAGCCAGCCGCAGCUCUGCAAAGGUGGGCUAUGAGGAGACGACUUCCUGUGCCGAGAGCCCUUGUGAUUGGCUUUAGGGGUUCCAGCUGUGCGCUAUUUAAUGCGAACGGCCCGAGGGAGCUGCAGGGCGCUUAAAGGGGACAGGGGCAGAACGCUCGCGCCUCUGGCGUCCCGAGUGAAGAUCUCUGCGGAUCUGGGACAGGGACCGUCAAACUUGGUGUUUGUUUCUCCCGAUUCUCUCAUCGCCGGCGGGAGGAAGAAGCGAAAGAGGUGGCGUUUGCCAGGGAUGUUUGAGAGCCACCAGCGAAGGGCGAUGGUGUUUCACGCUCGGCGCAAAGCACCUCUCGGGAGAGCCGACCGUCGCGCCGACUCGGGGGCGUGGUGAAGCGGCGCGGGGUGCUGCUGACGGAGAAAGGUGCGGAUCGGGGGCUCCGGCCAUGCUCGCGGGCUCCGGCGACGGCUCCCGGUGGCGGUUGGGGAGUCAUCGGGGCUGAGUUGUGAAGGGGCAGGCGAGAAGAAGGGUGCGCCAUGGGAAAGGAGGAAUGCAAAGCGCUGCUGGACGCGCUCAGCAAAGUGACUGCUUGCUACCGGCAUAUGGUGCUGACCAUCGGGGGCACCUCGGACUCGCAGAACCUGCGCGAGGAGCUGAAGAAGACCCGACAGAAAGCCCAGGAGCUGGCGGUGGCUAAUCGGAACAAGCUGACCGCCGCCUUGAAGGACAAGACGGUGAACAAAGAGGACAAGGCGGAGUUCGAGAGGCUUUGGGUCAUCUUCUCUACCUGCCUGGAGAUCUUGGAGACCGACAUGCGGAGGGCCCUGGAGUUGGGCCAGGAGUUCCCUCUCAACAUGCCAAAGAAGCCUCUCAUCCAGACUGGCAUGAGCGGCACCACCUCCGGGGUGGCCGCCAGGGCCAUGAGCGUCCAGAACAUGAGAUAUGAGGCGGACAACAAUAUAGACGUGGUGGAUUUGAAAGACUUGGAGAACGAGAUCAACCAAGUGGGGGAGAUGAUGUACGAGAUGGAGAUGAAAGUCAGCGUCCCGCAGUGGACGGUGGAGGCGAAACAGGACCCCGGAGCAGAGCUGAAAUCCACCAUCAGCGUGGGCGCCUCCUCUAUUGGCAUGAUGGAGGUGGCGGAGAGCAAGUCCUUCUGUGAUGUUAGCAAAUUUCUGGCAGGCAUCAUUUUCACUGCCGUACUCCUGAUCGCCAUCAUCCUGGCAGUGUGUGUUGCAAAACUCUCCUAAGGAGCCAAGAAGAUUAGAAUCAGUCUUACAAUCCUGAUAUACCCAAGACCUGGCACUAAUGUGACUUGGAUGGUAAUGUUUGGACAUGAGGCUCCUGGAAGCCGAGACAGAAAUGUAUAAACAUUAUGUAAAAGGGGGAUAUUUCUUCCCUUUUAUGCUGCACACGGAAAAAUAUCUUUAGAGAGGAUUCAUGAGGCAUAUCAGAAGCAUGUCUCUUCCUGUAUAGACACUACUGGAAAACAGUCUGUCACUUAGUUUUGUAAAGAUUGCAACCAGGCAAAACUUCACAGCCUGCUCACACAGAAAUAAUUCCUCCUGUGUUCAACAAGCAAGAUAGCAGCCUUAAUUGCACUCAAGGCAGGCACUACUCAUGACUGUAACUCAGGAGCAGACUGUAUCAAUUGCAUCUCUCUCAGAACACAUUUGAGAUUUUCAUCUCAUCAAGCUGUUUCUCAAGAUCAUCUGGGCUUAUGCUGUCCACAAAAUAUAAAGACAGAAUGAAGUCUGACACAGGAUUGUCACUGUUUAAUUAGCUAAUGGGCCCACCAUUAAUCUCCCAUGUAUGCCCCCAAUCGCAUGUGCAGUGUGAUCCAGGCACAGCUGCCUGUCACAUGGUUUACUACACUGACCAGAUGCAAAGGAGGUCAAGGUUCUUGUACCUUUAAAUAGUGAUGUAGAAGUCAUUUUUAGCCUGCUAUGCAGGAGUCAAUGAAAUAAAAUGUGCCAGUUAAAAUUCCACACAAGUAUGAAAAGUAUAGGAAAUAUGUUCUCCUUUGCACCUGGUCUCUCUCUAUGGGUAACAACAGCAGAAGGUAGUGAUUGCUCCUGCUUGCUUUAUGGGAAUAAAUUACUGGUGAACUAUUAGUUGAAGUUGCACUAUUCUAAGCAGAACUGGGUUUCACUAAAUCAGUGAACAUUUGUCACUGAUAAAAGGAGAAGCCCAGCAUAUCCCAUAACCCAAGGUUUUUAAAGCAUAAGGGAUUGCUAAGCUGCUUUAUAACUGAGGUUGUUUUUUUAUACAGACUUGUCAGCAAAUAUAUCUGAGUGCUGCAACUGCUAGAACUGUAAUUUAUUGAAGACUAUUAUUAAAAACAAAGAUUAUCUGCUCAGUUUGCACAUAAAGCUAAUCCAAAUGGCUUAGCACAAAUGCGAAAGCAAGCAGGCUCCUGGAGAAGAGAUUCCUGCUGCACUGACAUGAACUAAGCCAUGGUUUGGCUUAGCAUGCUCUCUGAAUGUGGGCUUAUGGUUUGCAAACCACAAAUUGUAAAACAAAACAAAUCCUUGUUACAGUUCUUGGUUUGUCUGUAGCGAAACAAACCACAAGCCCAGGUUUGAAUAACACACUAAGCCAAACCAUGGAUUAGCUCAUAGCGCUGUAGCUGCAGGACUGAAAAAGCAGCAAAGCAGCUACAAUCUCCUCUCACCCACCCAUUUGGUCUCAACUAUGGUUUGGCUUAGUGUUGCAUGUGAACUGGGUCACAAAUUCAAUGCUGAAGUUUGGCUUUUAUUAAAACACACACACAUUCACUUUCUUUUAAAGGCCUGGUUAUUAUCUCAUGUUUACAGCUUUAGUCAUUUUUAUUGUUAUAAGAAUGUAUAUAUUAACUGAAAAAGGCAGUAUUUAUUUGUAAAUUUAAGAUUUUUUAAAAAAAAUAUCAAACUUUGCUGUAUUUUACAAAGUAUGACAGAGUCAAAUAAUAUGACUGUGAUGAUGGGCCAAUAAUUAUAAAUACAGAGUGUUCAAAAUAAAAGGAAAAAGCACUUUUGGUUUCUAACAACCAGGUUAACUUCAAAAUGUUUUGUUAGGCUCAUAUUACAGAAUUGUUUUAGUGGAAGUGUUAUACUAUUAUAAUGAGCAUCAUUCAGUUUGUGCAAGAGUGUUGCUUAUAUGCUCAGAAAAAACCCUGUUGCUAUUUAUUUAAAAUAAAGCCUGUUCUGUUAACUUGCCACCCUAUUUGUAGUAGUCAUUAAAAAUAAAAGACAUCCCUGAUAAUAAGCUUAUCACUCAAACUGUUAUCCAUACUGAAUCUCUUACAUGCUCCAAAUAACCCACUUUGUUACUAUACUGUAUAAACAAACACACACCAUUAGAUAGCUGUUUAAACAUUCUUUUACUGCAUAGUAUCUGCCAUGCGAAAAACUUACUGUCACAUAUAUGAAUGUGGGGCCCAAGUGAAAAAACCCUAUGUGUAAGGGUUUCACGCUUACUGUUUAAAUAUUAUCAAAGAAAUAUUAUAAAUUGCUUUCAUCUCUUGACAAACACAAACAUUUUCAUCUUUAUGAUAAAAAUAUAAU